UAUUAGGUACAAGGAGUACCUAUUAAGUAUACUAACAAAAUGAUUACAUUGAAACUUGGGCACAUUGAAUAUGGAACACAAUAUAAUGCUAAAGUCUAAUUUCAGUAAUCAAUAUUGAACACUAAAAUAGCCAAGAAAGGUAGGGAAACCUCAUCCUCCUUGUAAGGAGGAUCAACCACCAGACAAGAUGUAAUCUUUGUAUUAUGAAAGAUAUAAAAAUCAACAAUUACUGAAACUGUUGACAUGAAUCCACUGUACAACAGGAUCAGGUCCAUCAAUAGAUGAAUAAGCCUGAGAAAUAAGGUGGAUUCAGAAUUUGACAAUGGACAAGCCAAAAAAUAAAUAGUUCAGACAUUAAAUUUCAUACAUACCAAAAUAUUGUCAACGCAUAUAAAAACACUAAUUAUUGUCAAUAAACACACAAUUUCCAAAUAGGCUACUUCGUGGGUUCAAAGGGUGGUUCAAAACUCGUUAAAAUCUAAAGAAACUUGGUAACACAAACUACAUAUGUAAAUGAAGCCAUGUUAAAGUGUUAGAAUAAAUUCUCAGCUAAAAUUGGGCAUUAGACACGAAUUUUCUAGAAAAUGCCAAUUUUGGAGCCCGAUUUCGUAAGUUCUAACUAAAUAAAUAUUCGUCUAAAACAUAUGAACCCUACAUCUACCUAACACAUGCAUAUCUGACAUGCUCAAUGUCAUAUGGUUGCCAUUCAAGCCAUGGCUCAACAAAACAAGAAAUCAAACACGAACAACUAAUGCACAAAGUUUGCGACCAACAACAAAUCACAUAAUACACGAAGCAAGCAACAACACAUAACAGCAUGUAAUUUUCAAGAAGAAGGUGCAAAUCAC